rnacentral:lncRNA from 1 species
CUCUGCAAACCUUGACAGUUUUGAGGAAUUCAAGUUUGAUAUUUUGUAUGAUUCCUAUUAUUAGAAUUUGUUUUUUCCCCCUAAGACUGGAGUUAUGUAUUAUUAGGAGGAUAACUAUGGAGAUAAAGUGGUAUUUUCAUCCCAUCAUGGCUUAUUUCAUUUUGCAUAAUUUCUUCACGAUUCAUCCAUGUUGUAGUGUGUAACAGGAAUUCCUUAAGACUGAUACUACAUUGUAUGUAUUUACCACAUUUUGUUUUUCCUUUCAGUCAGUGGACACUUGGGUUGCUUCCACACUUUCAUUAAUGUAAAUAACGCUGCUAAGAAUAUGGUUGCGCAGACACAUCUUCAAGAUCAUACCUUUAAUUCUUUUGGAUAUAUACCCAGAAGUGGAGCUACUUGAUCAUAUGGAAUUUAAAAAUAAGGAAGACUGGGCAGAGGAUUUAGCUCAGUGGUUUCGCUGCCUGCUGUGCAAGCCCAAGGACCCAAGUUUGAUCCCUGGUACCACAAAAAAAAAAAAAAAAAAGGAAGACAGACAAAGAUUUCAUCAAGUCAAAACCUCUGAGGAGGGAAGCUAUUUUAACCUCAUGAACAGAGAAAAGGGCACAAUCAUAAACCAUCCAACAGAAAGUCUUAUGAAGGAAGUUUUGCUCUGCUGAGUUGGAGAAAACAGACACAUAGAAGAAUUUACUCCAGAUUCCUCAGCUAGAGACAGUGGAAGCAGGAUUCGAAAUCAAAUGGGACUCUGACCCCUAAAGCUCCCAAAUCUCUCAAAUGGAGAUAGGAAUGUUUGCUUAAACAUUUGUUAGGCAAUCCUGAUGCUUCUUUCCCCACCUUACACCAUCAUACUGAAGAGCUACACAGCAAGAUGGUGCCUGGAAGAAACUAAGAAAACAGGUGAGAAACAUGUGGG